CCCGGCACAAGCGGUGGAGUAUGUGGUUAAUUCGAUGCAACGCGAAGAACCUUACCUGGUCUUGACAUCCCGGAGACCCUUAGGAAACUAGGGGUGCUUCCAUCUGGAAGAAUCUGGAGACAGGUGCUGCAUGGCUGUCGUCAGCUCGUGUCGUGAGAUGUUGGGUUAAGUCCCGCAACGAGCGCAACCCUUGCCUUUAGUUGCCAGCAGUUCGGCUGGGCACUCUAAAGGGACUGCCGGUGUUAAACCGGAGGAAGGUGGGGAUGACGUCAAGUCCUCAUGGCCUUUAUGACCAGGGCUACACACGUACUACAAUGGCCGAUACAAAGGGCAGCGACACUGCGAGGUGAAGCCAAUCCCGUAAAAUCGGUCUCAGUCCGGAUUGGAGUCUGCAACUCGACUCCAUGAAGUUGGAAUCGCUAGUAAUCGUGGAUCAGCAUGCCACGGUGAAUACGUUCCCGGGCCUU
rnacentral:rRNA from 1 species